UACGUAGGGGGCGAGCGUUGUCCGGAUUUAUUGGGCGUAAAGAGCGUGUAGGCGGCUUGGUAGGUCUGCUGUGAAAACUCGAGGCUCAACCUCGAGCGGUCGGCGGAAACCAUCUGGCUAGAGUCCGGAAGAGGAGAGUGGAAUUCCUGGUGUAGCGGUGAAAUGCGCAGAUAUCAGGAAGAACACCUAUGGCGAAGGCAGCUCUCUGGGACGGUACUGACGCUGAGACGCGAAAGCGUGGGGAGCGAACAGG
rnacentral:rRNA from 1 species